GACGAACGCUGGCGGCGUGCUUAACACAUGCAAGUCGAACGAAGUGGCGAACGGGUGAGUAACGCGUAAUCAACCUGCCCUUCAGAGGGGGACAACAGUUGGAAACGACUGCUAAUACCGCAUAGUGAAGGAGGGGAUUGCGUCUGAUUGGCUAGUUGGAGGGGUAACGGCCCACCAAGGCGAUGAUCAGUAGCCUGGUUGAGAGGAUGAACGUCCACAUUGGGACGUAGACACGGCCCAGACUCCUACGGGAGGCAGCAGGUGGGAAACUUCCGCAAUGGACGAAAGGCUGACGGAGCAACGCCGCGUGAGUGAUGACGGCCUUCGGGUUGUAAAGCUCUGUUAAGCGGGACGCGGUACCGGAAUAGAAAGCCACGGCUAACUACGUGCCAGCGGCCGCGGUAAUUC
rnacentral:rRNA from 1 species